UGACGAGCAGAAGUGGAUUAGAUAGCAUGACAAGCAGAAGCGGAUUAGAUAGUUCAUAGCGCUCUUUCCCCUUUCUGUUUCUUAGUUCAUUAUGCAUGUCUUGUUUUUAUGAAUGAGUGGAUAACUCCCACUGUCCAAACUCUGAUGAUGCUUUUUUUCGUGUCGUUGAUUCUGCAGGCUCUGAGAUUUUUUUACAUGGAUCGAGAUAUUAUAAUGUGUGCCUUUGUAAUUCCUAGAUGACCAAGAUAAAUUGACGAUGCAUGGCUCACAUGUUGAUUGCAAGGUUAAGAAUGGAGCUACUACAAGAUAGUUAGAAUGUCAUUCUUAGGAUCAAUGUUUCAAACAUUAUAGUUGAUUGCAAGGUCAAGAAUCGGGCUAUUACUAGAUAGUUUCAUCUCUUGUAAUCUUUGGACAAUGCUCUUUGUAAUGCAAAAUGCUUGAUUUAAUAUAUGAGAUCUCUCUGUUUAUUA